rnacentral:sRNA from 1 species
CAGCGUUUGCUGCCAAUUGAUGGGGCAAAUGAUCUCUUUUUUCAGCCACCUCCACUGACUCCUACCUCCAAAGUUUAUACUAUCAGACCUUAUUUUCCUAAAGAUGAGAAAAUAAUGUUGAGUUUCCAUGAAGAACAGGAAGUACUGCCAGAAACUUUCCUUGCUAAUUUCCCUUCUCUGAUAAAGAUGGACAUUCACAAAAAAGUAACUGACCCAAGUGUGGCCAAAAGCAUGAUGGCUUGCCUCCUGUCUUCACUGAAGGCUAAUGGCUCCCGGGGAGCUUUCUGUGAAGUCAGACCAGAUGAUAAAAGAAUUCUGGAAUUUUACAGCAAGUUAGGAUGUUUUGAAAUUGCCAAAAUGGAAGGAUUUCCAAAGGAUGUGGUUAUACUUGGUCGGAGCCUGUGACAUUUGUUGACACUGUGAACUGUCCAAAAGUCUCUUAACUGCACCUUGUGAGUGGUAGUUGAGGUCUUCAUACAGUUCAGCCUCUAGAGUGGUAACAAAUCAGCCAAUUGGAUUCGAAACAAAGAAGACUAUGUAAAACUCACCCAUCACACUUUCAGACUACUCACUGGUUGGAAGAAUAUAGUAUUGCAGCAAAUCCUGUAUGAAAGAGAGAUGUGGGCUUCCUUUUUGAGUCGUGUUAGGUGCUGAGACCUUUUACAUGGGCUUAUACAGGGAGAGAGUCUUCAAUAAAUGUAGUCAGCACU